GUGCGAGACAAGAAGCUUCUCAAUGACCUGAAUGGAGCCGUGGAGGAUGCAAAGACGGCCCGGCUGUUCAACAUCACCAGUUCUGCCCUGGCAGCCUCCUGCAUCAUCCUCGUCUUCAUCUUCCUGCGGUACCCCCUCACCGACUACUAAGGCCCGCCAGGCACGGCUGCUGGCGGAGACAAGCACUGAGACAUGUUUAUUCUCAUGGUCCCUGAAACGCAGGAUCCCAUGAGGUUGGGGCAGGGCAGGGCUUCUUGUCCUGGGGCCCCCUUGAGCUGUGAACUGGGCAGCAAGGCCAUCAGAAGCUGAGUACAGCAAGGGGGCAGUGAGCUUGGCCCUCAGUCCACCCCCUCCGCCUCCUGGCCUCCACCCUGCCUGUGUCUGGGGCCUGGGGGCUUCUCCCCUCGCUGCUGCACCCUGGCUUCCAGCGUCUGUGUCCCUGCCCUCACGUGCCCCUUCCCAGGCUCCUGGGGCCCCUUGGACCUGACACCUAGCAGGAAGGGCUUAUGCAAAAUUGUCCCAGGUUGGGAGGACUCACUCUGUGCUCCCCGACCCUGCCUCCUCCACGAUGUGACCCCGCUCAGAGCCCUUGUGUCUGUGAACUUUCAAUGAAAUACCCAUGCAGCUCCAGCCCAGCCUUCUACUUUGUGUCCCUGGCAGGGCCUGGAGAAGUCUGGAGGCUUUGCAAUCCUCCCUCAGGAACUGCCUGGCGGUCAGGGCCCCGGGUGCUGUGUCCCAACAGACUGCAGGGGACGGUCUGCUCCAUCACAGCUGUGCCAGACAGUGAAUGGGAAGGGGGGGCAUUUGGUGGAGGUACCCCAAACUCGAGUCACUUAGAGGGUCAGGCAGCCUCCUGGGGGGACGGAAGGGGGUGGGGCACAGCCUCAGCUGCCUGCAUUGGCCAAAUCAGAGCAAAGGAAACCACAAAUUCACUCGGAAGGAAGCAGCAGGCAGAGACGAUAGACGCCUGGCUAACCCCUGUCCCUCCUGGAGGGCUCUGGGACCUGGACAGGCCCCUUUACCUCUCUCGUGCCCAUCUCCUUAGCUGUAAAAUAGGAAAAUGGCCUUUCACUUCUAUAAUCACUGUGAAAAUGAACGGAAGAUGCCUUUCAAAGGCCGAGGCCAGCGCCCUGACGGCCCAUGGCAUGUGCAGUCCACAAUGUGGGAGGCAGGAUGCAGGGAUGGGCUCUGUCCCCUUGGAACUCAGGCACAGUCAUGGGGGUGCCGGUCAGCCCUGAAGACAAGCUGAUGAGGGUGCACUAGGAAAAGUGCAGGGCAUCGGCGAGGCACACGAAGGAGGUGGGGAGGUGAAGAUGGAGAAGAAGCCGAGGCAGUGGCCAUGGGUGUGGAGCUUCGCGCUGUGGGUGCCCAGCUGGUCUGGGAAACCGCAGGAAAUCCCGCAGCUCAGGUGCGCAGUGGGAAGGACUUGCUAUUCCGUGGGAAGGCAGGCAAACCUUCCCAGGGAAGGGGCAUGGCCGUGCGCCUCAUGUUUUGGGAAGCUCGUGCCCUCUGGGGUAGCGAGGCCAGCUUGGAGGGGAGUCCAGUGGACAGAGGUGGAUGCAAGUGGAGGGAGCUGAGCCUGGGCUGGGGCUGGCAGCAGAGGGCUGGACAGCAGGGCGCCUGCGUGGCAGCUGUGCAGUCAGUGGGGUUGACUGGUUUGGAAGGUAAGGUGGGGGAGAAGCCCGGAGGAUUCCUGUCCCUUGACUUGGACAGCCCAGUGGAGAGGGCUGUGUACCAAGGGCAGGAAACCAGGGAGAAGAAGAUGUUGACUUUAAGAUACCAAGCAGAGAAGGGAAGAGCCUUCUGGGCUGGAGACGUGGGGUGCCUCAGAAGGGAGGACCUUGAGCUAGCAGCAGAUGGGACAAACGCAGGGGACAGGGCACAGCCGUGGCAGGAGUGCAGCGAGCAAGAUUCUGGUCACAGUCCUGACCCAGAAACCUGCAGAGGAAGGGAGGGUGGCCAGCACCUGCCCGUGGGCCUGGGGUGCAGCCCAGGCAGAGGUGGAUGGAGGGGGUGCUCAGGGAAGAGGGGAGGGGAGUGUGUGACCUCAAAAUGGGAGGGCUUGGGGGUCAGAGUCGAGAGAGGGGACAGGGUGGGGACCAUGUGGGACUCUUGAGCACUGACCCUUGAACCCAGGCAGUGGUGGGAUGGGAGGGCAGGAGGCGGCGGGCUGCGAGGCUGAUGCGGGGCUGCACGGAGCUGUCAUUGAGCCUCUUGGAGGAUGGUGGGAGAAGUGCCAGGGGCGGCUGAAAGCCUUGCCGAGACUGUGGGCAGCCUGGUUGUGGGCACUUCGGAUGCUUGCACCAUUAGACCCAGAGGCUUCCUGGACAAGCCUGGGCUGGAAGAGGAUGGCAGAGGCUGCUGGGCCUUGGAAGAGAGAGGGUCCUGGCUUCUAGUUCCUGGGGCAGCUAAGGCCAACCCCAGUGUCCAGGUGUCUUCCAUGUUAUGCCUGGGAGGGAAGAAAGUAGAGGGGCAAAUGCUUUCUUUGCCUAUUUUCCUUAAACAUUUGGUGGCAGUGCUGGUGGCUGCCUGGGACAGGGGCCAGGAGGAAACACCCCUGCAUUAGGGAAGCCCUCAGCCAGCUUUUCCCUGGGAUGUUCCUGCGCCUGGCUGAAGCUUUCUGAGUUCAUGUUGGGGAAAUGGAACGGUCACCUUCCAGCCAGUAAAGGCACCCCUAGCUCUUGGGAUGUUUGUAUCCAACUCCGGGCAAUGUGGGGCUACAAAGGCCCCUGGCUUCCAUACCCUGGGGACCGGGGGAGGGCUGGUGCUCCCGCGGUGGGUGUCCACGGUGAGGUCAGGCCCCCACAGCAGGUGCAUUCUCGCCCUCAGCAGGCAGGCAAGCAGGCAUCAGCUCCGGCGCUGGUCUCUGGCUUCGAAGUCUGUGUCUUUGCCUGUCUGUACUCAUGCCUGACCUGCUGGCGCUCCCUGUCCACUGCACUCCUCCCACCUCAUUUUUAUGUGAUUUUGCACAGUGCCUGGCAGACAUUUGACAUUCAAUAAACAUUGUACGAACGAAAGAA
rnacentral:misc_RNA from 1 species